GUUAAUUAUGAACCUGUAGGUAGCCUUAUAUCCCUCUGUUAAUUAUGAACCUGUAGGUAGCCUUAUAUCCCUCUGUUAAUUAUGAACCUGUAGGUAGCCUUAUAUCCCUCUGUUAAUUAUGAACCUGUAGGUAGCCUUAUUUCCUCUGUUAAUUAUGAACCUGUA